rnacentral:rRNA from 1 species
GGAGUUAGCCGGUGCUUCUUCUGUGAGUGAUGUCCUUCCUGCCGGUUAUUGACCCGCAGGCCUUCUUCCUCACUGAAAGUGCUUUACAACCCGAAGGCCUUCUUCACACACGCGGCAUGGCUGGAUCAGGGUUGCCCCCAUUGUCCAAUAUUCCCCACUGCUGCCUCCCGUAGGAGUCUGGGCCGUGUCUCAGUCCCAGUGUGGCUGAUCAUCCUCUCAGACCAGCUACGGAUCGUCGCCUUGGUGAGCCGUUACCUCACCAACCAGCUAAUCCGACAUAGGCUCAUCCGAUAGCGCGAGGCCCGAAGGUCCCCCGCUUUCCCCCGUAGGGCGUAUGCGGUAUUAGCCUGGGUUUCCCCAGGUUAUCCCCCACUACCGGGCAGAUUCCUAUGCAUUACUCACCCGUCCGCCGCUCGCCACCAGGGAGCAAGCUCCCCGUGCUGCCGCUCGACUUGCAUGUGUUAGGCCGUCGCCGCCACGCGUUCAAUCUGAGCCACGAACUACGAACCCGUACGA